AGAUUGAACGCUGGCGGCAUGCCUAACACAUGCAAGUCGAACGGCAGCACAGUAGAGCUUGCUCUAUGGGUGGCGAGUGGCGGACGGGUGAGUAAUGCAUCGGGACCUGCCCAGACGUGGGGGAUAACGUAGGGAAACUUACGCUAAUACCGCAUACGUCCUACGGGAGAAAGCGGGGGAUCAGUAAUGACCUCGCGCGGUUGGAUGGACCGAUGUUCGAUUAGCUUGUUGGUGGGGUAAUGGCCUACCAAGGCGACGAUCGAUAGCUGGUCUGAGAGGAUGAUCAGCCACACUGGGACUGAGACACGGGCCCAGACUCCUACGGGAGGCAGCAGUGGGGAAUAUUGCACAAUGGGCGCAAGCCUGAUGCAGCGACGCCGCGUGAGGGAUGACGGCCUUCGGGUUGUAAACCUCUUUCAGUAUCGACGAGCGCAAGUGACGGUAGGUACAGAAGAAGGACCGGACCAACGUACGCGACCAGCA
rnacentral:rRNA from 1 species